CCACUGUAAAACUUUGCCUCGACCCCACUGCAUGGUUAUGGGGCUGUAAAGCUGCAGGAAUGCCAAGAUCGUGGCUGGUCAAGGACAGGGAGGGAAGGAGAAGGUGGGGAGGAGGAACAAAAAGCUGAGGCGAGAGCCUGGAGAAGGGGGACCUGCUGUCUGGCUGAACUUCACUGGGCAAGAGGCAGCCCUGGACCUGCACCCAGACCUGGGCCUGCACACCACAGGAGCAUACAAUGGUGCUGUGCAUGUCUUGUCCUGGCAUCAGAGGCAAGUGAUGGGAACUGCCAAGACAGGGGGCUGGUGGGUUUGGUAGAGAUGGGCAGCAGGGUGGAGAUCUGGAGAAGACUCCACGGACGCCCACCUCACUGCCACAGAAGACCCCACAAACUGUGGCACUGACUUUCAGAAUGGGUCUGGUUCUCAACUUUAUCAUCCUCCCACAGCAACUAAUGUAGCGUCUCCCCUGUGGUUGAUAGCUACUCUUCCAAGGUUAUGCUGUUUGAUGUUUUCUUGUCUCAGGCUGUAAAGUUAUCCAUUGACUUGGAAAAACACAAUUAAGAGAGACAGAGCCGUCAGGCAGGUUCUUCAGGUAUCUCUGCAGACAGCAAAGGACUGCAGAGAAGUGGCUGCUGGUGAGCAUUGCAAAGGCUGCUUGAGGCUGGGAAUGGUCUCACGCAGCCCAGGGACAGGAGACAGCCCCUGUGAAGGCUCAGCAUCCUCCACUCACCUGAUUCGGGUUCAGGUUGGAUAUUAGGAGAAAUUUCUCCUCAGAAAGAGUGGUGAGGCAGUGGCACAGGCUGCCCAGGGACGUGGUGGAUUCACGGUCCCUGGAGGUGUUCAAGAAUAGGGCUGAUGUAUCACUGAGUGACAUGCGUUAACGGGCAUGAUGGGAACGGGUUGAUGGUUGGACUAGAUCUUAGAGGUCUUUUCCAGCCUUAUUUCUGAUUCUAUGAUUGUGUGACCUGUGAGGCCGAUGGGGAAGGGAGCGGGACAACAGAAUGUCCUGGUGGAGGCAGGACAUGGCAGGAGAGAGAUGACGUGGUGGGACAAGACAGCCCUGCAGGGAGCAGGGGAUGGCGACCCUGCGCUGGGAAACCCCAAGGCAUCCCCAUCACUGUGCUCUGGGGCUGGCUGUAGCUCAGUGGCUGGCGGUGGCUCGUGCUUUCCCAGCCAGCUCCCAGCAGUUGUUUGCCCACCAUUAUUUAAGCAUUCGUCUUGUUCAAGCACCACUUCAGGGCAGGCUGGCUGCUGCCCUGGUGCUGCAGGGCUGGCCGUAUCUUGCAGAAAAGCAACAAGAGCCUUCCUUCUCCCCUCCCUCACUUUCCCCAGGGCCUCUAUUACCCCAAAUAAACACUCACUUUGGGUAAUAGUUAACUUUAAUGGCUCUGUCCCGGCUUCAGCUGUGUGAUAGGGAACCAGAGGGAGACGUGUGGGGUUUAUAGUCCUCAGGAUGGAGGAGAUGAGGGAGGCUGGAAGGGAAGCACUCAUGGCCACUGUCACGGCACGCUGCACCGCUCCCACCAAGUGGGAGCAAUCUCUCCAUCUCCCUCUCCAAACUCCAGCCCUGCUUGGUUGCUCCUGUUCCUGCCCUUGUGUUUUCAUAGAAUUGUGUUGUAUAUCACCCACCAUGUUCUGCCUCCACCCAGACAUUCUGUUAUCCCACUCUCUGCCCUAUUGGCAGCACAGGUCAUAGAAUCGUACAAUCAUUAAGGUUGGAAAAGACCACUAAGAUCUGGAUAAUUUGAGAUAAAAGUGAGCCCAGUUCCUAUUACUGAAAUUGCAAUAGCGCACAGAGAUGCUGUGGUCUCGGUGCCACUGUGGCAUCGGUGGCUUCAUGGCCUGGUGGGAUUGUUCAGGGAGACCCCUGAAGAGGAGGGCAGUUCCCUCCUCAGAGGGAAGGUCCUGAUGGGAAACAGCCAGCUCUGGGGUUGCUUUGGGAAAAGCUGGGAGAGCAGAAGAACAAAGGAAAUGUUCAGGGUCAGAAAGGAGCAGAGAAGAGAUGCAGAGAGAUGAGAGCAAACUGUAAAAGCUCGCAGGCUGCAGGAGCAGCGUGGAAACACUGGGGGACAGCGGAUGACCACGAGAGCUGUGCAAGGUGGUGGGAGCUCCAGACAUUCCGGCAGGUUUCACAGCCCUGGAUGCUCACCCUGAGCAUCUCCACUCCUGGCCACGGUGGUGGGACAGAGCCUUCCAUGUCCUACUCCUCCCAUCCCAGGCACAUGGCUUCCCACAGCAUGGCCAAACGUUGCUGUUCCAGGAGAAACCCAAUCAUGUGCCCACCAUUCACCUGAGCCCUCUAAUCCCCUAAUCCGUCACCAAGGAGACCCAGGCACUACCUGGGCUGUGGGAAGCAGAGGGGCCCCGGAGCUGGAGGAUCAAUUCCUGGCACCAUUAUCACGCAGAGAGGGAUGGACCAGAGAGACCUCACAACUUGAUGCUCCAGUGAACUGAUUAUUAUUCUCAGGAGCUACAUUCAUCUCAGCUGAUCACUUCCUCCACAGCAGGGCCCCAGAUGGCACCCGUCACCAGCUGCAGUGACAGCAGCUGGACCUUCAUCCUGGAACAACAUGUAGUCCCUGCCUGACACUGGGCCGUGCUGUGGGGCAGUGGGACAGGGCUGUAUAGAGGCACACAGGGGCAAGCAGCAUUGCAGAGGGCAGCACAGGCCUAGCAGGAGGGAGCCCAGGGGAUGAGGGCUUUGGAGGUCUUCUCUUUGCUGUUUUUCACCUGGGGGAAGCAGAGGCUUGAGCUGCUCUGGGACGGGUCUGUAGCCCUGAGGUCUGCAGGCAGCACCGGCGGAGAGGCAGGUGGUGGCCCUGCCUGUCCUCAUGUGCCACCUAGCGGGACACCAGCGCAGCCCGCUGCAAAGCACUCGGGGAAAGCCGAAUUGUACAUAGCCUCACUUCUCCUUUUGCUGUUUGGACCCCACAUUCCCCUCAGCAGAGGAAGGGGACACAGGAUCAGGUUCCCUCCAGGACCAGGAUGCUCUGAGUGCAGUCCUCCUCAUCCUGGGCUGUGUGCGUGCACCCAGGACAGCAGGGAAAACCAUUCAGAAGCCUCCAACACCGUCACCUGGCUGCUUCCAAAGCUGCCUGGGGAGUCACACUUAAAUAUGGGGAUGUUACACUCUCACUGAUUGCAUCUGCUUCCAGAAUCCACUCCAAAGGUCCGCCUCUGGGGGCAGCUGGAGGUCUCCCUCCCUUUCCUCAGGGCACUUAUUUGGUUGUACGGCAAACCCAAGAUGAGCAAACCUGGGGCACAUUACAGCAGGAAAUUCUGCAGUUUUGCACAAGGCUUGGGGCAAGCUGAAUUUCUCAAGAUACAAGAGAAAUCUGUGCAUGGUUUGCUAUAAAAUGUAUGCUGCCUGGGGACCCUGCCUGUCUGUGCAUCUUUCCCAGAGGGGCUGGGAACAGCACUCAGGCAAGGAGCUGGCAAGGGUCAAGGGUCCAAUCAGACACCUCAGAUGGGGCAAGAGUUGGCUAUGUGGGGCCUGCAGGCUGGAUGGCAGCCUGCGAUUCCUUACAGCCUGGUGGGACUUCAGCUGGAGGCAGCUAACAGCCUGGAAUAAAAGACAACGUAUUGGUUUGCUUACCUAUGGCAGAUGGAGUUCAGCUUUGAGGAGCCACUUCGAAGGUGAGAAAAAUCUGUGGUGAGAUCUCUUUCAAGUGAGAAUUCAAGUUUGCCAUUCGAAGCUCUCAAUUUCAGGAUUUCCUAAUAACAAGGUGCCACAAGGAUGGAUAAAAUUCCUUAAAGCUGUGACAAAUGGCAGUCUUUUGGGCAGAAGACAGAUUUCCAGCCUGUUCCACCACAUUAUCAGGCACCUGUUGGAGAAAGACCUGCUGAAAACCUCCGAGCUGCAAUAGGAAAUGCUCUGCCAGCAAACAAAAGUUUGCCAAAGAGGCCGCAUACAGCUGCUACAUCUUCUUGGGGCAACAAUUCUUGUUGCUGGUGGCUUCAGCUUUGUGGCAAGAAGCAUUUAUAUUCCUGCCCAGUGUGUUGGUGGGCCCUUCCCUGGGCUGGACCAUGGCUCCUGGAGGGCAUGCUGUAAUUAACACCAUCCAUCAUCAUCAGGAGCUGUGUGAUUAGGUUGUACCAGCAAAUUGCAUUAUUCCCAGGAAGGGUGGGAUGUCCCUUUUGAAAAAUAGCCCCAUCAUUAGAUCUGAAGCAUCAGUGGGAAGCUAAGCCCAGCAGAUAAUCCUUUCAGAGCUGGCUGAUCUUCUCUCCAGGGCUUUCACAAAUUUGCUAGGAGAGAGCAGGAGGUGCACUUUGCUUCCUAGAGAAGGGCUUCCAGGGGCGCCAGCACUGUCGUCCCACAGGUUCAGAGCCCACCUGGUGGUCACGAGGGCUCAGACAUGCCAGCAAUGGUAGAUAGCAAUGAGAGCUUGUCUGAGCUGUGUUAACAGGGGAGCAUCUGUAGAGCUCACUCUCCAAGGCAAGGUAGGGAAAAAGAUUCGACCCACUCCCCAUUUUUGGGGUACUUUAGAAUCUCCUAAUCUCCUGCACACACCCCAGUCUGAUCCUAUCCCUUUAAGGUUACUCCCAAGCUAUAGGAGGUUUGGCAAAACAGCCUGAACUUUUCUUUGAAACUCAUUUGGGCUCAUGGUCCCCCAGGGCUUUCCCAUUCCUCCACUAAGAAGAUUCAUGAUCUCUGCCGUGGAGUGAAGGGCACGGCUGUCCUCACUGGAUUGCGCCCACAGGGAGGGCAGGCUACCAUCAAUAACAAGGAACAAAGCAGGAGAUGGGGAGGGAAUCAAUUAGACUGAACCUUACCUGGAUGGCAUUUUGGGGGAGGACAUAGACAGCUUUGAAAUACAGGCAAGGAGCUGCUGGCUGCAGCUGGUUUCUAUUAACCUCUUCUGCAGCGGGCUGCAGUCCUGUGGGAGCCCCAGCCAGAGUUUGGGAAGGUCAUUCUUAGGGGCUGUGCUUACGUUGCUCAUACAGCUCAGGAGAAGCCAUUCAGUGACCAAUACUGUGGAAAAAAACAACAGAUUGCAACAGGAAUUAGUUGGGCAGGAGGGGGGAUAGGUGGGCAUCAGUCUUCAGAGCACCAAUCUCCCACUUGCCAACAUCAUCUCCACGUUCUUCAGCAGGUGUUUAACGUGCGGAGCACUGCUGCACAGAUGCAGACAAGCUCCCACACUACUCUGGUUCCAGCUUUGGGGGUGUUUUCCAGGGAUUGACCCCUUUCCCCUUCCCCCAGAGCUCCAGCAGCCUGAAGAUGUGCAUUCAAUGAGCCGUUUUACUGGCAGCAGGUGACUAUCUCCAGCAGAGGAACUGGAGCUGCUCUGCAAAGCAUGCCAGUAACUGUGCUGCUAUGGGGACACACCAUGGGAAUUCGCCCAGGACUGGAUGUUCAGCACUAGGUACAAUGAAAUUAGAUUAACGUGUGCUUUGGGGAGGAAGUGAUGGGCUUGAUAGUGUCUGAAGGAGCAGAAAUCACUGGAGAAGGAUGGGUUUGGAUGGGUUUGUACACCAGGGCUUGCAGUGCUCGCUGAGCAGGGGGACACAUCAAAGGGGUGGCUGUGGUUUGGGAUUGGGAACAGUGCCUGCCUAUGCAGGACAAACACUCAUCCCUCUCACGUGUAGAGGCGAGCAGCAUUGGUGUGUGAGCUCACAGUGGCAGGAAACCUGGGCUGAUAGCUGUUAGUAACAGUGCUGAAGUAGCAAGGCAGUGUGGUUUUUAUUUCGGAGCGUUCGCUGCAUAGUCAGGGCUCAGAAAGACACAGCAGAAAACAAAAGAGGCGGGUUGGUAGAAUGCUAUUAGAGCCAUUAAUCACCAUUAAGAACUAAUAACUGUGUACUGCCUCCCUGGUGCUACUUGCUACCGCACCACCCAGCCCCAAUCCCCUGCUUUAUAACAGCUUCACACUCAACUCAGCUGCCAGAAAAACUUCCUGCCCUCUAUUUGAACCCACCGACUUGGCCCUAAAUCCCCACCCACAACCCACCAAUGUGAAACUUCCUCUUCCCACCACUUCUCUGCAGCAGCUUUGCCUUCAGGAGCACUGAGCCCAGUGAUUCUACCAGAUGGGAUGGUUUUUUUUUGUGCAGUACGGGUAGCUAGAUUAAUAGAUUAUUUUAAACUUCCCAUUAAAAAGCAUCCAAAUAAGUGCCUCAAAGCAAUUGAAUUAGCCUAGCUGCAGUCACACGAGGCUACUUCUGUAGAAAAGACAAAUUUGAGGCUCUCUCCAUCCAUCCAUCCACCCACUCAUCCAUCACCCACCCAUCCUUGGCCCACUCCUUUUCACAGUGCCGACAAGGACAGGGUAUUUUUCAGAGUCUCACAGACAGCAGCCCAGCAGAUGGCAGAUCUCUGCAACCCUGGCUGGAAUGGGGACAGUGUGAGGCUGGAGAGAAGAGACUGAAACAAUUCUAUUCCCACCAAAAAUAACGCCCAGAGCUCUUCACAGUCUUCAGUGCGUUCUUGUUUCUACUUGAGAUGCUGGAUUUUUGUGUGAUAGACACCAAAACAAUCAAAAUACAGAAGCAUUUCACAUUAUCUGAAUGGAUUUAGACUUCGGCUUUCUAUCAAUUAAUCAGUCAAUCAAUCAAUCUGUCAGAGACCUUUCCUGUAUUUCCUGUUGAGCCCUGGGUUAAAAAGCCAGCUUUGCAGUAGCAGUGCUGCUUGCUGCAUAUCCUCUGAGCUCUGAGCUCCUGAAAUUUUAAAUAUAUCUGUAUGUUUUGCUUUUAUUUCCAGCCUCUCCGCUGGUGGAGGAACCGUCAAGGUCAUAUUUAUAUUUAUUAGAUUCAUUGUAUUGGUUGCUGUGGAGUGCUGCUGUGACACCAGAACAAAUUGCUGUGCUGGGGAAGGACAGGAGAGGGACCGAGGAGUUAGGGCAGGGGGCAGGUGGGCACGGUGUGCUCCUGACCCACCGCCAUGGGAGGGCAGAGGGGGCUUUGCUCCGGCAUCAUCUCAGAUGGAGACCGCUUCGAGUCCUCGUCCCACUCUGGCUUCCUCUGUAGCAUGAACUGCUGUGCUUGGAAAUCUCAUCCACGGCAGAAGUCAGGAGAAAUUUUGGCAUUCCUUAAGGGGUUUUGGUCAUGAGAGAGGGGUAUAACAUUUCUGGUGAUCUUUGUGUGCAGUGCUCACCUUCCCCUCUAUCUGCAGCAUCCUCCAGACCCCCCAUAAAAGAGGGGGAGACUCUCCAGCAGACACUUGUUUCUCUCCCCAUGUGGGCUCCUUUGAGCCACGUGCCUGGGGUUGAUGAGGCUGCUGGCCAUAGAUGCAGAAGCCAAAAUCACUUUCCUCUGCCUGAAGCUCCUGCCAUCCCUAUCUGCCAGGGGAGUGAGAGGUCUAAAUCUCUUGUGCCUGCUUUUGGACGUUGAUUCUGAUUCAGCAAGCAGGCUGCUGCACUGCUUAAGUCAUAUCUGAGAAUCUCAAGGGGGCUUAUGGCCAACCUGCAGUCACCCUGGGGCGUUUCCACCAGCAAGAUGUUGUGGGAUGGAGGGCAAUUCCCUUACAGAAAGCUAAUGAUGAAUUCAGGGCAUAUUUAAAAAUCAAGGUUGAAGUGUUGCAGGGCUUUGGCACAAGGAGGACAAGGCACAGGUCCAUUGGCAAGCGCUCCAGCUCCUGGGUAGGAUUUGGGGAAGUGCUGGGGUUAUGGGGACACCCCACCCCUCCUGGUGCCUAGGGUGGCUGAUGGGAACUUUGGGGUGCUGAGCUCUUGUAUACAGGUGGCAGCUCUUUCCCCUUGGGGGUAUUCACAUCCCAGAGGAGACGCUUGAGGCUUUGGCUUGAAAUGGAUGAAGAUCAAAGCCUGCCCACAGACCUUCAUCCCAGCAGGCAGGAGGAAGAGGGAGAGGCAGACACAGAGGCAGCAGAUGCAGUGACCUUUGCAUCCUGUGUGAAAGGAAGCUGAAAGUCAAAUGCCAGCCCCACCAGGCAGCUCUGCAUCCCAACCUGCUGCUUGCCCCCGCUGCUGUGGCGUUCAGAGUUGCUGCGAGCCUAUAGCGGCCUUGGUUGGCUCCUGCUAUUCAUUUCAAUUGAUUUAUUUUUAGUUUUGUGGAAAGGAAGAAAGUGAUAAAUAAAUAAAUAACCUCCCACCCUGUCCCAGCUCCUGGCAGGCUCCUUGUAGGCUGUCAUCUUGGUGGGGUGAUGGAAAAUAUCUCCACCCUUCCUCCUCCCCAGCAGCAUCCAGCAAGCCAUCCAUCACCCAGCCCUGGGAACAGGAGGUCUGCAGGGUCAGCGGCCAGCCCCCUGCUUCAGCUCAUCCCAUGGGGUUUGGCUGUGGGGUGAGAGCUGUAUUUUGGGAUGGUCUGUGCAUGGAGCAUCAGAAAGGAGCUAACUUGGGGAUGAAAAUGGGGGACAAGGAGGGAAAGGUGUCCCCCUCUUCUUGCUGGCCUGUAGGAAUCAGAGGAAGGGCACAGCCCUCUGCAGCAGCCGCAGCAGCUUCUGCCUGCACUGCAGUUUGCCAAGCACUGCUCUGCAUUUGCUGCAUUUGCUGCAGGAGCAGCCCCAAAAGCAGUAGCCCCAAAAACAAGGAUGAGCCCCGAGAGGACUCGUGGGGGGACAGCAAAAUGAAGACAGCAGGUCAACCUAGGGGCAGAUAUUGCUCUACCUCAUCAAAUAGAUGUGCCUGGGAGGAUUUCAAUUUAAGACAUAGCUUGCAGUGCAAUCUCAAACAGCUUUUGGUCCAGAACAGCCGCGAGGUGUUGCUCACAAAAUUUAGGAUGCUGCUACUGUAAUAAAUAACAACGGAGUCAAUCCUCACACUAAUUAGUGUUCAGUCUCAGUGGGGAGGAGGCAGGCAGUGGGUUGGUUCUGCACCUGCUGGAGCAUCUCUGCUGCAUCCCUGAAUGGCACAAAGUGCUGGGGAUGCUGCAAGGAGCCAAGGCUGCUGUGGGGGGACCCUGCCUGGGGAUGCUCUGGGACCUUCAUCCAGAGCAACUCCUGGAGCAUUUCAGCACACCCUGUCCCCACCUUCCAUCUCAAAUCAUCCUAUCUCAGACAGGUAGGAGCACCAUUCCCUCAGCCAGUAUUUCUCUAACUUAUAUCCUUAUGUCCUAUAUCAUGUAUAUCCUGCCAAAAUGAAGUCAUUCUUCUAAUUAUGCAGACAGAGGUGGGAGAGGGAGGGGUCCAGCUCCUCCGGUAGAGCAUUUAGUCUCACGCUGGCAUUUGGUCAGGGGAAAUCAAAGCACAGCUCAUCCUGUGAGACUGAGAGGGUUCUCAGCUAAAGCAUGAGCAGAGAGCAGAGGUUUGAGCAGAAACUCAGUGCUGGUGUCAUUUGGAAACAGUGAAAGAAGGAAAAAAUAUUGCAUCCUCCCCAGGCUUUACUUACAACACAAGUGAAGCACUGUGUUGGGGUCACUGGAGUUCUGCACUUCAACGGACCCUUUAAAAUAAAAAAAAAAAAAGAGCGGAUGUCAGCAAAUGUUGCCCUAAAGCCAGGAAAUCCUGAAUUAUUCUAAGAGGAGGUCAAAUGGAAACACUUUAAGAAAUGUCAGCAGAUGUCCUGUCACUUUCAGAAAGGUUUCCCCUCAUGUUCUGGACUGGAGCCUUGUGUCAGAUUUGAGCCCUCUCUGUAGGUCUUUAGGUGUCUCCACAUGGAAAAAAAUCCCAGCAGCUGGAGAUGCCCCCCAGCCCCAAGCAACGGUGAACCAGCAUGUGUCCCCUAGGUCUCCACCUCUGGCUGGAGCUGGUGGCACUCAGGGAAGGAGCACUUGCAAACCUUCUGCACGAUGCUUCUCUCUAUCUCACUGCUGGAGCUCCCAGAGCUGGUGCACUGGGGUAGCUGAUGCCUGGGGUAGGGCAGUUAGCAUGUGUCUUGUUUUUUCCCCUGUUAUAUACCAUAAGCAGGUGCGACGGCUUUUCCCACACCCAGGACCAUCCCCAGUGCUCUGAGCUACAUCUACAUUCAAGGAGAGGUGUUACCUGGACAGCUGGAAGGACACUGAUGAGGCACUGGCACAGACUGCCCAGAGAGAUGCCCCAUCCCUGAGAAGGUCAGGCUGGAUGGGGCUCUGAGCACCUGAUAGAGCUGUAAGUGUCCCGGUUCGUUGGAGAGGAGUUGGACCAGAUGGCCUUUAGGGGUUCUUUCCAACUCAAAUGGUUUUAUGAUUCUACGAUGACAUUGUCUUGUGCCACAUCUGGCACCUUCCCAAGAGUUCUUGGCUCUUGAAUUGCAGAGCUGGGAGUUUCCAGGAGGAGGAACACUGCAAACCCCCUGCAAUGAAACCACUCAAUCAAAACCAGCACCGCAAGAUCAACAUUUUGGGAACUGUUAGUCCCUCUGAGUUUAGAGCACGCCAAUGGCAGAUAACUCACAUCUGCUUCUGAAAGCAGGAGAUUAGCCUAAUUUAGCAUGAGCUCAGAUAUCAGCAACAAAAUCUAAUUACGAGGACAUGUCAGGCUCAUUGAUCACUUGAAAUGGCAACGCAAAAAGUUGGGCCAAUUGCAUAAUGACUGCAGAGUGCUUCCACCCUGUGCUGUUUUGCUAGGGGAAUUUGCUUCCCCAAUUAUCUUGUAUUGAUGGGAGCCCAGUGCCGUGCUGAUGAUGGCACGUACCUUGUUUUAUAUUAAAAAUACGUUUUGUGCUUGCUGGAAAUUACAAAAAGCAAUUCCAGAAAUACUGGAUGGAAAUGCAUUAGAUCCCAAGGGUUUCUGACAGGUAAUGGGAUGUCUGCAGCAGUUCCUGUAGGACUGAGUCCAGCGUCCCCAUGGAUGAUGUGGAGCUGCUUGCCCUCACGGCAUCAGCACUUGAGCCCCACUGCUAAAGUGUUCAUCACAGCUGACAUUAAGUGACAGCAAUUGUUUCCUGGUGGCUUUUUGCUCCCCCAGGCCAGGAAGGCUCUUACUGCCUUGUUCUGUGCAGUGCCUGUGCAUAAGGAGCAGUGCCUUCCAAGGGACGCCUGUCGGAGUGCAAAAAGAGGGAAAGCAGAAAGGAAAACAUUUUAAAAGAUAAAAUAAAGCUUAGUCAGUCAGGUACUGGUACGGAGUCAAGAUGCAUUUUGGAUGAGGGGCUGUUUUAUAGAUGGGCUGAUGUCUGCUCAGACAAGCGUGGAGCGUGAGGGAGUCAAUGAGGAUGGAGCAGCGCAGUAAUGGAUUUUCCUGUGUAUCACCACUGCUCCCGCAACGUCCAGCGAAGCAAAUGAUUGCGUCUGCAGCAUCAAUCAUUUAGCAUCGUUAGACAAGAAGCUCUGCCACAAGAUGAGCAUCUCAUGCUUGGAAAGCAAUUGGCUCGGCUUUACCUCAGCGCUGCUGCAGCAGGGGACCUGUUAUCCCUGGUGGCAGGGUUCCUGUUUGGGGAGCCCAGGUCAUGAGCCCUCCUUACUGCUCAGAUUAUUCACAGCCCUGAAAUAAUACCUGCCUGUGACCAGGCAGCCACCAUCCAUAAGGCACGGUCAGAAGCAUGAGCUAUUAUCCAGCCGCUGGCUCUUCUCAGGAAGCUCAUUUCCAUGCAGAAUUGCACCUUGUGCAAUAUAUCUGCGGGAGCGAUAGCUGAAUGCCUCCGCUUCAGGGAACAGGACCAAAAAAGUGAGUGAGAACUAUUGAUCUGGUUUUAAGGAGAGCUGUAUCUAUUAAUCUGGGAACACUAAUCACUGGGGGCUGACAGGAACAUGAGGUUUCCAGUGCCAUGCUGACACUCCUCAGCCUCUUGGGUGAAGCCUGAGGAUGACAAGCUGCUUUCCUGGAGCUGGGCAGGAAAGCCCAGCAGGAGGGCCCUGACAGCUUCUUAGAUGGGAAGGGUAAUACCAAAGAGAUGGUCCUGGGGAGCCCUGAGGACAUUUGUCAUCUUGCAGUUAUCCCCACAAGCCUGAGCUGGACGUGGCAUUACAACAAAGGUGGCUGUCUGCCUCCUGGGAAGGGGGCAGGGGUGGUUAUUGCGUUAUUAUUUUCUUCUUUCAGUAUACCAACUAUGACAUAAUAAAGCUGAGAGCUGACUAAGAUAGGAAGCUUCUAAGGGAUGAAAAAGGCUGCAAAGAAACUCCUUGCCAGGUGAAUUUAAUUCUUGAUUUUUCAGGGCUGAGGUGUUCAGUGGCUGUGCUGCUGCCCUCUGAAUAGCAGCUCUCCCCUUGAGAACAUCAGCUGCUCCCCUGCAGUGGUUUGAUACCAUUUGCAAACUUUGGGCAAGCUCUCCUCCAGGUCAUUCCCUCCGCCAUGUUGUUUAUUACACGCAAGCCAGCACUGAGCAUUUUUACUUCGUGACUGUGCCAGCCAGAUGGGGCAGAGCACUCACAUCCUGAGCUGGAUGGGCAGAAUCAUUUCCACACAUUUGCAAGGUCAUUCAGGUGAACUCGGGUACCCUCCUCAAGGUAUUGAUGUGUUUCUAAGCCUUAAGGAGUCCUUUUUCCAAGAUGAGAUGUACAUUCAUCAUGCAUUUUUCAUAAAACCUAUCUAUAUUCAUUAAUUGGUUGUUAUGCUCCAGUUGAUGAAGAAUAGACCUCAAGGGUUUUGGCAAGGACUCUUUAGCUUUAAUGUCUUUAGUUCCUCCCUUUGCUCGGCAAUGGCUGGGAGAGGAGAACAGGGAGUAGCACGAAAGCUUUGCCUGUAGUUACCUCUCAAUAUCCUUCCUCUAUCUAAUAACAUCCUUCCUUGGAGAGCUAAGACGUGAUGGUCCAUAAGAAGCCAGCCCUCACCUCUCACCAGGGAAGUGGCCCCUGUCAUACUGGGGCUGAUAAAUAUGACAAAUGACAUCGUAUUUAUUUUACAACAAAGAGAGUGCUUCAGCUAUCUAGAGAUCAAAGCAUAUUAGCAUGUGGAUAAAAACUCCAGUGUUUGUGUAAUCCCUAAAUAGAUUUCUUUGGCUAGUAGCUGCAAGCUGCUACUCCCACCCGGCUCAUCAUCCUAAUGGGUAGGUGUCACGUCAAGGAGGAAGAGCUGUGAUUUAGCUGGUAGGUUAAUGAGAAAGUAGGAGGUGUAACUGGUUGCAUUUUUGGAUUUUUUUUUCUGCCCUACUCUGGACAAAAACCUCAUUACCUUGUGCACAAACCUGCUUAAUUCUGUGCAGCUUCUUCUUGCUUCAUGCUCCCAUCAGAGGACUGCUGUGUGCCGUGGUUGCCCCAGGGAGCUGAAGAUUUGCAGCCACCCAUGUGCUCCCAGCCAUCGAGGAGCAGUGAGAUCAGGGCUGCUCUCACAAGAAGGUGAAGCCAAGGUGGGACCUAUACCCUCAGCAUCCAACCAAGAUGGACACAACCUAGAGUCCAGGUCAUAUGGCAACACCAUGGUGAUGAUGGAGGUCCAAGGCAAAGCUGGGAACUCAUCCUGCAGGCUGAGGUCCACAUCAAGGAGCCCCAUGGCUAGGCAUAGGCUGAAGCCCAGCACUCCUGCAGUUCACAGUCUGGGAAACAUGCACAGAUAUGCUACCUUAUUAUUACUAAUGUUUAUUAAUUAAAGAUAGAGUGUACAGACAGCUUCUGCAAGUACCAUUCAUUCCCAUAAGACCUUUCGGGGUGACAGAGGUAUUCACCUCUGACCACCCUAUGCCUCCUCAUCCUUUGGGUACUGCUGUGGAACUUAGCCCAGUCUCCGUGUAGGAUGGAGCAGAGCGUGAGCGAUGCUGGAUAACUCCUGCCCUCCCAUCUUCUCCGGCAGCUCAGGGAUGUUGGCACCUGCCUUUGGCCACCACUGAGAGCCAUUUGUCUUGUGCUUCUGCAAGCGUGAAAUGCAAGGUGACAGCUUGACGUGCAGCAGCAGGAGGGAACGGCCCCCUCCUCCCCCCGUGCACGUCUUCUCUUCCAGGAGCCCUCAAGAAGCCAUCCUGGCAGUGCCUCCAGUCCUUCUGCUCAUGCCUCAUUUCCAACUCAUUCAUGCAGCCUGCCCACCAGACCCUUACCUAUCUGUAUGUCCCCAUAGGGGGAUCUGUGCUUACAGGGUCUGCUGCACACCAUGACUUUGGUCUCCAAAAUCAACAUUACAGCUGGGCUGAAGGCUCUGAGCUCCCCAUCCCAGGACCAGAGCAGCCCUGCCCAAACCAUUCCUAAUGCCGCAUCUGUCCAACUUGCUUUUAAAAUAUCCCACAGUCUCCUCCAGGUCUUGGGUUUAUGUGCCAGCCUGGUGGGGAGCACAUCAUGAUGCUCUCUAUGACUGCUUUGCGGGGUCUUCCCAUCAGGCUUUGACCAGCCUGAACCGCUGACCAGCCAUAGCUCUCUUUCUUCAGGAUGAGAGGUAAUGGUCUUAAGUUGGACCAGGGGAGGUUCAGAUUAGAUGUUAGGAAAAAUUUCUUCUCCGAAAGAGUGGUCAGGCAGUGGCACAGGCUGCCCAGGGAAGUGACGGAGUCACCGUCACUGGAGGAGUUCAAGAAAUGUGGAGAUGUGGCACCGAGGGACAUGGUAUAGUGAUCAUGGUGGAGAUGGGUCAAUGAUCGGGCUAGAUGGCCUUAGAGGUCUUUUCCAACCUUAAUGAUUCUAUGAUUCUGUGAUUCUAUGACUCUACGAUUCCUUCCUGCACAUGUUCGGAGGGAGUUGAACAUCUUCCCAGGGGACAGGACACCAAAGAAUGGGUCAGGCACAGCACAAAGUGUCUGAAGAGGAUGGUGCCCUUCUAUUGGCAUCUCUAGCACUCAAGUCCCAACAGCACAGUCCUCCCAUCAGGAUCAGAUCCAGCUGUGAGAUUUGGCCAGGACAAGCUGAAGACCAAGGGAUGCGGUUAGGUCUCCUUCAGUUCAGCCCUGCAGCCACUCAGCAGAGACAUGGCACUUCGUUUAAGAGGGAGCCAGGGCUGCAAAGCAUCGACCAUUUGGGUUUCUAUUUCCCAGCUGCUGGCGGCUCUGUGAAAAUGCACGGGGAGAAGGAAUAACAGGUCCUGAGCCCGGCACAUGUCCUGCAGCCUGGAAACACAGCCCUGAGAUCCCCAGCCCUUCUGCAAACCGUGGCCCUGCACUUUGCUGUUGUAUCAGACCACACUGCAGUGACCCUGGCCAGCACCACAGCCAGGAUUUCCUCAGCUGAGAGAGACCAGGGCAGACCUGACCGUGGUGCUUUACAGAUCCUACUGUUUUUCUGCUGCUGCGUAUGUUGGCUCUGAGAUGAGCUGUGCUGCUCUGUUAGAAUUUUUUCCCCGCUGCUCAAGUUGAUAGCUACAGUGAGGAGAUGUCUUCUCUGAUUUACACAUCCUCUUUAUGUGGGGUGGAGCUCGUGGUUAAAAAAAUCAUUUCUCACAGCGUUCUCUGCCUCAUUUUCCUUUGUCCCUGGUUGUGGUUGGCGUCUGAAAGGUCGGGGACAGAGACCUUCCCCUGCCCUGUGCUCAGCAGGGCUCCAUUGGUGCAAACCCACAAGUUCAACAACACUGUGCCCACGUCAUUUCCUGAGCACUGCCUUUUCCGGAGCUUUUGGUUUCAAAAGCAUUCCUCCGUGGUCAGAAGAAAUGCUAUGAAAACAUGCUUGUGCUUCCCAGUGCUUGGGUCGUGCUGCCCCAGCAUGCGAUGCGGGUCCUCUUGCUGUCCCCUGCACUACAGCCCCCAGCAGCUCCCAUCACCCGCUAAAGAGAUUUGCAGUGCUCUCUGCCAACGGCUCCCCAAGUGUGGGCUGCGAAGAUUAAUGGCUCUGCUGCUCGCCUGCUCUGUGCGAACAUCGCUGAAGGGCAUCUAUGGGCUGAGCUGAUAAAGAGAGCUUAAUGGGAUGGAGUCCCUCCGUGUGAGGCUUCCAGCUGGGCUGAAUGUUCCACGAUGUCCUUACUGAUCUCCUUUGGGUGAUGGGGCGCUGCUUCAGCCUGAUGCUUUCUCUGCUGCCCCGGGUGGUGCCACACAUCCAACCACUGCAUGGUCCCCAUCCCCUGUGUUCUCCAGGCCCCCCUCUUGCCCAGCUCCAUUCCCCACUGCCCAUUUGACAUCCGAGGCAUGCUGUGACCCCACCUGCCAGCACGACCCCUGCACCCUCCCGGUGUUGGUCACCCCAUACCAGCCUUCACUCUGACUGGGUCAUUCCUGCAGGAAAACCCACCUCUCUUCCCUUACAGAAAACCCUCUCUGCCUUCUCCCAGCUGCCCAAAGGUUUCUCCACAGCUCUAUCAGCCCCCAGCUCCAGUAUGUGGAGGCUUCUCCUGGUGCAGAGCUGUGAUCCUGAGAGUUUCUGUUCCAGCAUUUACCAGGCAGCUUCAGAGCUCAUUUUGCAAAAUGUUUUGGUAUCUCUUCUUUUAGUUGAUCAAAUAUCAAAAUACAUGUGCUUACAUGGUUUGUAUGUUAGUAACGGAGAGGUCUUUCUAAGGCAUUUCAGGAAGAUUUUGAGGCCUUAUGAACUCAUCGCUUCCCAGGUGAGCUUCUCCCCAGGGAGAGAGCAGAAAGCAUAAAUAGGAACUGAACCUUCCCUCAAAGUGGUAAUUGUGAUCUACUGACCCAAGAAGUACCUAUUGAUUGAGGUGAAGCCACAGAAGCUAUUUAGUUGCAAGAAAAAUAAAUUAAUUUCCGUCAGCUGAGGUCUCAGUGCACAGCAGUGUGUGACUGCUCCCCUCACAGCAUGCCCUGCCUCGCUCCCAGUCGCUUGCUGGAGAAAAUCCAGGUAAAAUUUGCCGUGCAAAAAGGGGAAAAGACGCUGCUGAGUGGCAGUCACCCGUAGUGCUGGAGACCAAAAUGUCACCUGGCAAUAAAAGCAUUCCUCUAAGUACUCCUUACUAACAAGGGAGGUAUUUACUGUGGCUGUCUCCUCUGGGCUGCUUGUUGAAAUGUUAAAGGGAUGUGCUCCUCCCCACUGCCCCUACCGCCUCCUCCCUCCUCUCUGGGCUCUGACUGUUUAAUCUGAUAUCUCUGAGCCACGAUCAGGGGCAGAUGUGACUGUAAGAAGGCCCAGAAAAAUCUUUUUAUUCUUGUCUUUCCCCCCUUGCUGCUGGCUGUGCUCCCAGCUCUGCUUCUGCUGGGGACUGAAGGUGUUGAGGGCGAGCAGCCCCCAUGCCACUUUGUCCUACCAGUCUUCAGCCCAUCUCGCGCCACAGCACAGCUGAGAGAAAGGAAGAGGGACGCUGCACCUCAGGAAAGGCAAAAGCUGCCAACUGGCUGGGUGUUGUAUUGCCGUACCUGUGUGAUAGCGAGGCAUUACGCUAAGAAUCUAUCACAAUCCAGCCAAUGGAUAUUAAUCCCGUGCCUCAUUGCAACGUAAAACUUCAAGUCAGUGAAAGAAACGAUAAGGUCAAACCCAAACUGUUUGAUUUCACGUUGCAUUUGGCUCCAGCGAUGCAGAACAGAGGUGGCAAAAGACGUGCUUUGGUUUUCCUCCCUCCCUGUGGCUUUCUGCAAGAUGCCCCCAUGGUUCCGGGAGUUUGGGGGGGUCUCUAUGCAACCUCGAGGAAAAACCCACAGGUUAGAACAAAACCCAGCAUCAGAAAUAGAUGAAAGCAUUGACUGUGGGUGAGGUGGGUCCCAGGAGACCUGAGCUGUUGUCUCUAAUAAAAGAGCAUGGCAAAAAGCAUUAAACAGAGGAGCAGCUUAAUUUCCCUGCAGUGUUAGGGCUGCCGGUAACUGUAACUGAUGGGGUUAGUUAUAGACUGUAAUAUGUUUUCCUUGUGUAGCAAAGUCCCAUUGGGUUUUCUGGGUGUUAGUAUAACCGGAGCUGAGUGAUUUAGUCUCAGCUGAGCAGAAGAUGAUCACUCUCCCCCACUCUGCCUAUGAGGCCCAUCCAUCGCUGUGCAUGGAUCCUGCCCACGUCUCUCUCCAAUGGGUGAAACCUGGGCUUUUCCUCCUGUACAAGAUUGUUUUCUGGCUGAUUUGAGGUUUCUGGAAAGUUAAUUGAUCCCCAUUUUAAUCUCCUUGUGCUUGAACAAGAGACAUAGAUCAUUUUAAUUGCAGAAGAGGAAAAAUGAGUUUAUGUGACAUAACUCAGGCAGUGAUGUUCCUUUGGUACAGCAUCAGCAUCAUUAUAUCAAUUAAAUCAUGCUAUGCGUUACACCGAAGCAGGCUCCUUUACUUCUUGCUGGUUGCACAGUGAGUUAUUUGAUCAGAUACUGCAGUGCCUGAGGUGAAAUUGGGCAUUUCUGAGCUCCCGAAGUUCUGAACAUUACAGCAGCCCCCUUUGAACGCAUCGCUGCGGUUAUGGGCCAGGCAGCACUGGUGGGGCCAGCAUCUGAGGUGGCUUUUUGGAACAUUUGAGAUGGGAAAAACGUCCAGAAAGUUCUUAGCAAGGACUGAAUUACAGUGCACGUGGUUAUUGAUCCCCAGUUUCUCCAAGCUCAGCCUUACAGAGACCACAGCAGCUCUGGCACUGAGAGCUGGGGGGAUGCCGAGGGGCCACCGUGGCAGCUCAUCCUGCAAUAUCCAUCUCCAUGGGGAAUUUGGCAAUUCAUUACAUCAAUGUAUGUGACAUUACACAUGCCUUACAUUACAACUGAGUUACCGAGGCAGCCUGGCAAAUCUCUGCAUCACUUUUGUGAAGCCGAGUGGUUCACUGCAGUGCUUUCUGAAGGGCAUUCCCAAGGCUUGUGCUAAAGUGACCCCAAUUCUUGCUCGUGUGUCUCUGUCACCUGCAAGUGCCUCGCCUGUGAGCUGAGAUCCUCCCCCCAGCCUGGGAGCACACUGCUGCCCUGGAGCAGUGCUCGGGAGAGCAUCCUUGGCUGGUGGCUGGGUGAAAUGCUUCUGAUUGGAAAUAGCUCUGACUUGACAGCCAAGAAAAGAGCAAAGAGGUGGGUUUCCUUGCAUGGGGCAUGACUCCAGCCAUAAAUCCAGUGAUGCUGGAGGGUACUUGAUGCAGUACAGUGCAAAGAACCUGGCCUUGACUGCAGCUUGAGAAUAGCAACAACCCACGUGCCUUCUGUGCCCAUCUCUGUGCUUCCCUUUGGGAUCACUGCUAAAAACCAUAGUUUCUCCUCCAUGAAAAGCAAAUGGACUUUUUCAUGUGCUCCAUAUUGGAAAGAAAAAAUGACAUGUUGCAUUUCCCUAUGAAAACCCUGCUAACUACAAAUGCCACACAACUAAUGUGGGGUUUACUACUGGGUACUGCUGACCACUUACUUCAUUACUGUGUGCCCAUUCAGUUCUAUUGAAUCAACAUCAGUAGUAGGAGACCCCAUCCAAAGGGAUGCAUUGGAUAAGCAAUGAAUCCACAGAUGAAACCUGGUGGAAAAGCAAAAUCCCCCAGUUUCACAGCCCGAUUCUCGUCUGAAGGGCUCUUCCCACAUCACCAGACUCAUCCCAACCCACCUGGCAGGACUCAGUGCUCAGAUCCUUGUGUUUUCUUUGCUGGACCAAUCCUGAUCAUUAUUAUUUGGGCCAUGCUUCCCAGGUUUUAAAUUAUUCUGUCUCAACUAGCUGGUGGCAUUUGUUACAUGUCAUGCAAUGUUCCUGGUAAUUAAUUGGUAUUUAAUUAAUUAAGGGAUAAUGGCAUUCAAUUAAGGGAUGCCUGUGGAAUGCUGUCACUGGGUAAUGAAUGGCUUCCUGCUGCUCAGGCAGAGCUGAGGCAUUUGUGGAAAGCAAAUAAAGAGGAGAAGCUGCAUCAUUGGUUCCCUUGGCAGAAGUCCUGAUGUGCCACCAUUGGCAGGGACGGUCACUGCCUGGAUGGUGGCAUCUCAGUGCUUCCAGCAGCUGCACAGCAACGGGGCUCCAUUCCCACACCCCUCGCCCGGGGAUCAGGGCAAGUCGAGCUUUUCCCCUGAUGGAUGUAAACUCAGUGUUGAUAUCCCCCAUGGAUAUGAAGGACUGUGGUAUCUGGUAGAAAACAGGCCUUGUGUCCUCUUGCCUUUGGAGCAGAGCACAGAGAAACUGUUCAUUUCCUGUGACGUGAAGACAAAUGAAAGUGGAUUUCUCAAGACAAACCAUCUUGAAUAAAGAGGGAUAAAUACUGAAGGAGAAACAAGAGUGAGUCACUUUGCUUACAAACACUCUGCGAUGCUGCGUGUGCUGCGGGUAUAAACAUUUCUGACCCUCCUUGGUUCCUCAGGCAUCCUUCCCACUGUGGGCCAUGCAGCUCUGCAUGGAACUGCAUGGAACCCCUUGGGAACUGGGUUAUUUCCAGGCAGAAUGGGGACCGUGAGGGCCGUGAGGGAGGUGGGCAUCCCUCUGAGUGGUGCCUUGCCCCAUGCCCACAGCUCAGCACAACCUCACAGCUCCCUGUUUCCCCUUCUGAGCCUUCCUGAGCUGCUGUACUCAGGGAGAUGCAAAGUGAACAUUGUGAAACACUGUAGUGCUUCAGUUCCCCGACAGCUUGCAGGUUUUCCCUAAAAAGCCCCAAGCCAUUUUUGUUUGGAGUGCACACUUCCAACUGAGAACUGCAAAACAAUUAAGGGGGAGAAAAUGCAAAUUGGACGUUCAUGGCUUGAUUGCUGACGCCUCCUAUAGAAGAACUGCCUGCUGGAUCUAAUUGUUUAUCCCAGCAGUGCAACGACACUAUUAAUAAUUUACUGUUUCUUUACAUUGCCUCCUUACACACAUUGUGUUUUCAUUAUUUUCUGGCACUCCUGCAUAACUGAUUUUUGCUUUCUAAUUCUGUUUCGUAUUUCAGCUGUAGUUGUGAAUGAGUACGAUGUGCACCUGUGCUCGCUGACCUCUCGGUAUUUUUGGAUGCUGGGGGUGAACUGUUUUUUUUUAGUGUAAGUGAAUGGGGCAGACACAGUGGGAUAUAUACACCUUCCUGAGACCUUUGGGAUGGAAGGUAAUGCGGAAACAUGAACUCUAAUUACAGCUCCAGCAAAGUCCACUUUCUAAUUAAUUGGAGAUUAAGUUAAAAAUAGAGCUGGUUAUGUAAAACGUAACUCGAAAGCCCUCGUCUACCUGGUUGCACAAUACCCAGGAGAAUGAUCCCUGCCAAUACUUAAUUAGAGGUAAACAUGCCCCAGGUGUGGCUUUUGAGGACACACAGCAGUUCUGCUGGGACCAUGCUCCAUCCGUGGGAAGAAGACCCCAAAGCUCCCCAAAAGCUCACAUUCACCACUCGCAAGCCUGGAGGUCCCAAAAAGCUUUGAAGCCCAGCACGUGGUGGUUCCCCAAGGCAGCUUGUACCUCUCUGUCUCUACAAGUUCCUGUAAACACUUUCAUCGUGCCUGUAUAUAAAAGGAAGAAGAAUGCGGAUGCAGCCUCCACGUCCAUCUCCCAAAAGGUCAAGCAGUUCGGCCCAACAAAACCUCAACAAACACUCAUUGGGCUUUUAAUUGAGUUGUUUUUGUUUCAUUCAAAAAAAAAAAAACAAAAAAAAACCCAACACACUGAAAUUCUUCUGUGGGUUUGUUGGGGUGGGAGGGCUGCCCUGCAUGCCCUGCAGUGUGCUUGCUGCUGGGGGUUCCUCCCUUAUCCUUCAUCAGUGGGAGGCUUGGAGACCACAGCUGGGACGGGAGGUGGCUCUCAGAGAUUCUAGGGGUCCAGAGAGGGGGAGACUGACAAUGGGAUUCUGUGGGAGACCGGUGACGCCUCAGGGCAGCCAGAGUCUGUGCUCUGCUGCUCGUCUUCCCUGCUCCUCUCAGGAUCUUGAAAUUCACUGCUUCUGAUUACUAGGGCCAAAGUUGCCAUUGACUACCACAGCCACACCUGCUGCAUACUGUUAGUGGGCAGCAGAUCCAGCUGUGCAUCCACUUGGCCAAUCCAGCACCUCCAUCACAAGAACAUCCAUG
ensembl:lncRNA